rnacentral:rRNA from 1 species
AGUGAACGCUGGCGGUAGGCCUAACACAUGCAAGUCGAACGGCAGCACAGGAGAGCUUGCUCUCUGGGUGGCGAGUGGCGGACGGGUGAGGAAUACAUCGGAAUCUACUCUGUCGUGGGGGAUAACGUAGGGAAACUUACGCUAAUACCGCAUACGACCUACGGGUGAAAGCAGGGGAUCUUCGGACCUUGCGCGAUUGAAUGAGCCGAUGUCGGAUUAGCUAGUUGGCGGGGUAAAGGCCCACCAAGGCGACGAUCCGUAGCUGGUCUGGGAGGAUGAUCAGCCACGCUGGAACUGAGACACGGUCCAGAGUCCUACGGGAGGCAGCAGUGGGGAAUAUUGGACAAUGGGCGCAAGCCUGAUCCAGCCAUACCGCGUGGGUGAAGAAGGCCUUCGGGUUGUAAAGCCCUUUUGUUGGGAAAGAAAUCCAGCUGGUUAAUACCCGGUUGGGAUGACGGUACCCAAAGAAUAAGCACCGGCUAACUUCGUGCCAGCAGCCGCCGUAA